rnacentral:lncRNA from 1 species
ACAGAAGAGACUGCACCAAGGCAUUAGACAUUAGAAACCAAUCCAGCAAGAAAAGACAGAAUAGAAUUAAAAGAAAAGACUUACCAAUCACUUCUCCAGCAUGAACAGACUGCCCACCUACGCUGGUCAAAGAAGGAUCUGAUACAGGCAGAAUAGACAUUAGAAAUCGAUCAUUAGGACAGAACGAAUCCCAGACAGAAUCAGAAAUCUACCUUCUAUGAUUUGCGCGUUGAUAUCCUUGAUAGUCUGGAUCAUAUGCGUCUUGGCAUCCCCACCCGCAAAAAUGACCCAGUUUUCCCAACCAUCGAACAGCACCUUGAGGGCAGUGACAGAAGCAGGCAGACUUUGGAAUCUGGCUUUCCACCAUGCGUCAAAGUCGGCAGAACUGCAGGAAUUCAGCUCCCACGAAGGAUAGAGGGCAUCCGUGCUGUUGUUGAUUUUGUUCACUGCACACCGGGCAUCCUUGUGCACCUACAGAUCAUCUGCAUCCCUCCAAGAAGAGGCCCGGUUACAACUCCGAUAUGAUUUCAGCGGAAUGAGUUGGGGACAACCAAGCUGCCUUGCGCAGAAGUUGGGAUGGUAGACUUCUGCCCCC